rnacentral:rRNA from 2 species
UGGGGAAUAUUGCACAAUGGAGGGAACUCUGAUGCAGCGACGACGCGUGAACGAAGAAGGCUUUCGAGUCGUAAAGUUCUUUUAUAUGGGAAGAUAAUGACGGUACCAUAAGAAAAAGCCCCGGCUAACUACGUGCCAGCAGCCGCGGUAAUACGUAGGGGGCUAGCGUUGUCCGGAAUCACUGGGCGUAAAGGGUUCGCAGGCGGAAAUGCAAGUCAGGUGUAAAAGGCAGUAGCUUAACUACUGUAAGCAUUUGAAACUGCAUAUCUUGAGAAGAGUAGAGGUAAGUGGAAUUUUUAGUGUAGCGGUGAAAUGCGUAGAUAUUAAAAAGAAUACCGGUGGCGAAGGCGACUUACUGGGCUCAUUCUGACGCUGAGGAACGAAAGCGUGGGUAGCAAACAGG